AAUUAUCGAGGGUGUGAGAACGCUCACCUGUGCGUAUCCGCUGUGAUUCUAGCGACUGAAUGUGACACGAGAAUAACAAUGUGAAGAUUGGCCGACCAGCCGCGACGCACUUCAUUCAACACCAGACUCCGAGCACGUUCGGGACCUAAUUCACAAUCAAUGGCAAGACGUCUAGCGAAUCACAGGUGCGUAAGUACUUACUUGACAUACAGAACAAAUCACGCCGUAUGAUGUGUCGCGUCUCACCAACACACGGCCAUUUUCUUUUCAAUAACAACGUCGUCAGUUCUUCUCGAGUUUGUUUAUCACGCGUAACGAUGGGGACGUUAUUCACUUUCAAUCGGACUAAUCAACCACGUUUAGCACACGUCGUAGAAGAUUCUCGAAGAGGGUUUUAUUACUGUGAAGGCUGAACGUGGCUCGAGAAAAAUCUAACGAUCGGCUGGCGAGCCGCGGCGAGCUUCACUCAUCGACGAACGUCGGACGAGAAUCGAGAGGCGUUGCAACGCUCUGAUACAAUUUCGUAGAAUAACGUCGAACACAUCGCAGGUACGAAAACAAUUCCAUGUUCAAAUGAAACCGAGUGACGUGUCGAACUUGAACGACGCUCGGCGAUUAUCCUCUCGACAAUAACGUCGUAGCUUGUCUUAGAAUCUGUCAACCCCGUGUAGCGUCGCUACCCAUGAUCGUGUGUCUAACGGAAAUGCUCGCGUAUCCCGGACAAACCGAGAGUUUCUACACUUCCGGCUGUCGUAACGUUUCGAAGGAGACUUCGAACUGAUCAAUCGCGUUUGGCACAUCGUAGAAGAUUCUCGAAGCUGGGAAAUUCACCUGUCGGUAUCUGCCGUGGUUUUGUUACCGGGGAGGCUGAACGUGGCUUGAGAAAAAUCUGACGAUCGGCUGGCCAGCCGCGGCGUACUUCACUCAUCACCGAAUGCCGGAGGAGAAUCGAGAGGCGUUGCAUCGCUCCGAGAAAUUUGAUGGAAUAACAUCGAACAUAUCGCAGCCCCGUGUAGUGGCGCUGCCCUUGAUCGUGUGUCUAACGGAAAUGCUCGCGUCUGUCGGACAAACGGAGUGUUUCUUCACUUUCGGCAGUCGCAACGUUCCGAAAAAUACUUCGGACUGAUCAACCGCGUUUCGUACGUCGUAGAGGAUUGUCGAAGGUGCGAGAACAAUCGCCGGUAAUUAUCUUCUGUGAUUCGGGGCUGCGGAUGGUGAAUGUCAGCGACAACACAAAAUGGCCGACUGCAGCUACGGCGUACUUCACUCACAACAAGACGCCAAACCGAAGAGAACGCGAUACGGCGCAAUAACGUGAACGAGGGGACACGUUCAGCGAUUAAUUGUGGUACCAGUUCCGAGAUUCCGAGUUUCCAAACGUCGCAGAAACGAGGCCCUGGAUGCUGAGCUGCGAAGUGUCG